AGACCGAUAGCAAACAAGUACCGUGAGGGAAGAUUGAAAAGAACUUUGAAGAGAGAGUUCAACAGUACGUGAAACUGUGUGGUGGUAAACAGAGGGGUUCUCGAAGUUUCUACGGGGAACUCAGCCUUGGUGACGUGUGGACCUGUUGUAUCCGAUCAGAAAUGACUGUGCAGCUUUUCCGGCAUGUCUCUCGGGUGCAUUUCCCCCGUAGUUUACAGCAGGAACUGUUUGGAGCGCACCGAAGGCCCUGGGUGAAGUUGUUGGUUCUGCCGGCAGCCCCGGGUGUCCUGGCUGUGCACCAGACAGGUACGUGAGAGGACUCGUAUAGCGAGCAAUGCUCUGUUGCGGUUCUCAUCUCUCUGCUGAGUAGGUCGGUGGCCCCUCUGACCCGUCUUGAAACACGGAC
rnacentral:rRNA from 1 species